rnacentral:rRNA from 1 species
GAUGAACGCUGGCGGCGUGCCUAAUACAUGCAAGUCGAGCGAACAGACGAGGAGCUUGCUCCUCUGACGUUAGCGGCGGACGGGUGAGUAACACGUGGAUAACCUACCUAUAAGACUGGGAUAACUUCGGGAAACCGGCGCUAAUACCGGAUAAUAUAUUGAACCGCAUGGUUCAAUAGUGAAAGACGGUUUUGCUGUCUCUUAUAGAUGGAUCCGCGCCGCAUUAGCUAGUUGGUAAGGUAACGGCUUACCAAGGCAACGAUGCGUAGCCGACCUGAGAGGGGGAUCGGCCACACGGGAGCGGGGACACGGUCCAGACUCCUACGGGAGGCAGCAGUAGGGAAUCUUCCGCAAUAGGCGAAAGCCUGACGGAGCAACGCCGCGUGAGUGAUGAAGGUCUUCGGAUCGUAAAACUCUGUUAUUAGGGAAGAACAAAUGUGUAAGUAACUAUGCACGUCUUGACGGUACCUAAUCAGAAAGCCACGGCUAACUACGUG